rnacentral:rRNA from 1 species
AUUGAACGCUGGCGGCAGGCCUAACACAUGCAAGUCGAGCGGAGCGGUGGACGGGUAAGGAAUGCCUAGGCAUCUGCCUGGUAGUGUUCGAUAACGUCCGGAAACGGGCGCUAAUACCUCAUACUAUCACAUUAUCCUUGGUCGGAUUGGCUAGUUGGUGGGGUAAAGGCCUACCAAGGCUACGAUCCGGAACUGGUCUGAGAGGAUGAUCAGUCAAACUGGAACUGAGAAACGGUCCAGACCCCUAGGGGAGGAAGAAGUGGGGAAUAUUGGACAAUGGGCGAAGGCCUGAUCCAGCAAGGCCGGGGGUGGGAAGCAGGUCUUCGGAUUGUAAAGCACUUUAAGUUGGGAGACGUUACCAACAGAAUAAGCACCGGCUAACUACGUGCCAGCAGCCGCGGUAAUAC